rnacentral:lncRNA from 1 species
CAGCAUAGCAAGAUAUGUAGGUGAGAUGGGCUAAAAAACCAUUAAAAUAAAGACUAGCCAUUGAGGUAAAUUGGAGGUGGUCCAGAGAGUUCCAGAACAGAAUAUUAUGGCCAUUUGUCUGGCAAGCAUGGUUCAUCUAAAAGAAGCUUUGGAAGCAGUACAGUCAUUAUCAAAGUCAGGAGAACAUGGAAACCAUUAGGAUGAUUGUAGGAAUAUUAGUAUAGCCCUUUAGGCUGUAUAAAAUAUACUUACAUGUGCAUUUUUGGUUUGUUCCUUACAUGAUUUAUCCUGAUUGAAUAGAUAGAGGAGGCAAGUUACAGUGUCAAAUUUAAACCCUGAAAGCCCAGUUUGAUUUCAUCCUGGCAGUUUUUGCAGGGAGAAGAGUAUCAGAAUUAAGGUGAGUGUAGCACAUUUUUGCAGGUAGAAAUAAGGUCAUUGGGUUUGAGAGUAUUUUAAAUGGAAAAAGCUGCAAUAGGGUGAAAAAAAAGACCGUUUUUCAUUAUUAUUCCAUAUCACGUAGCUGAACACACAAAUACAUAUAUUUUGAUGAGAGCUUUUAAAAACAGCCUUCACCUUUUUUUUUUUUAAUGUGGGUGGGAUCCUUAUUUGGUUCAUAAAUUGGUCUUUUUAAAUCAUAUUUUAGUUUGUGGCCAAGUAUUUCAAAAUAAAUGUAAACAUCACAUAGCUUUGGUAAUCUUUGCUUAAUGCCUAGUCAGUGUUGUGUAUGUGUGUGCAUACAUAUUUGCAUAUGUCUGUUCACUUCAGUCCUAUAAAGCUUUAGUGUUGUUAAUUGCAAACUACGGUGAUGGAUGCAGUGAUAAAACAACUGAUGUUUCGGUGCGUCUACUUACACUGCAGUUGAUGGGAAGCUUCCAUUUUGUAUAUUUGUGAGUAUGAAUGAGAAAGCAAAGUCUGCCUUGGGAAUUUUAUAAUGAAUAUGAGAGAGAUCCUGCCACAGGUAGUUAUUAAAACGUCCCCUGAAGUCUUUUAUGAUGAAUGAUUGUGGCUGUGUCUGAGUCUCUGACCUUCCCUGAAGCCUCUGUUUUUUAAAGAAAUCAUCACUACCCUAAGCCAUUCACUUAUUAAAAUUUAAAAACUAAAUUCCUACUAAGUUUUAGUUUGUACAGUGCAUAUUCUGAGUAACUCAAAUAAUUUUAUAAAUAUUAUUUGAUGAAGCUGCCCUUCUGAAAAGGAGAAAAUAUGUAUUGAUGAUUUAAUUACUAUUUGUCACCUUUUUGAGGAAGGGUUGAAAUAUAUAUAAAGAAAAAUAGGAAGGAAAAUUUUGCUUAUUAAAAAAGCAAAAGUGUUUUUUUUUUUUUUUUUCUUUUUUUUUUUUUUAGGGCUACACCUGCAGAAUAUGAAAGUUCCUAAACUAGAGGUUGUAUCAGAGCUGCAACUGCCGGCCUACACCACAGCCACAGUCACAGCAGAUCCAGGCUGGUCUGCGACCUAUACCAUAGCUCAUGGCAACGCCAGAUCUUUAACCCACUGAAUGAGGCAGGAGAUUGAACCCGCAUCCUCAUGGAUACUAGUUGGGUUCAUUACUGCUGAGCCACAAUGGGAACUCCAGAUAAGCAGAAGUCUUUUGUUCUGGUCUUUUUCUGUAGGAAAAUGCAUCAUCAUGAAAAACUUAAUACUGAUAGCAGGGAAGAGAAAGAUGAUUAAGAUUCAUGAGAAAGGGGAGGGUUCUUCUCAAACACAGAAGUAGAUAGUCUGGAGUAACUUUAAUAAAGUAUUUAAAGUUUAGUUUAAAAAAUGGGAUUACAUAUUUGCAUGUAAUGAAAAUUUUGCGAAAGCCUGCUGAAUUUAUUUGAAUAGCUUGCCUUAGAGCCUAGAAGAAUAAAGGGGGAACUAAAAUCUAUUGAAUAUUUACUAUAUGCUAGGAAUUAUGGGAUUGUGUUAAUCAUCAUAGGUUAUUUUAUUUGAUUGUCAUAGCAACCUUUCUCACUUUGUAUGUUUGUGUUGUACCUUUAAUUAACAGAUGAGGAAACAAAUACAGAGGUCAGAUAACUUGCUUCUGCGUAUCUGGUUAGAGCUGGGGAUUCACAACACUUGAGAUUUCAAACCCUUCUUACUACUCCUGUCAGAUACCUUGCUGUCUAUCAGUGUCCUGUUAGAUACUCUGUGUUCCUUUGGUGGAUGGCCUAAAUACCCUCUGGUGCUAAUCAUGUCUUUGUAUUUGCCAGCUGUUGCCACAAUAAUGCAACCAUCUGAAAACUCAGUGACACACAACAAAAAGAAUUCUCACUCAGAAGUCUAUGAGUCAGCUGAGCCUCUUCUUAUUGCUGAGAUCCUUGGGUUUGGCUCCAAACUGGGGGGCUCCUUGUAUGUCUUAUUCACCAUGGAUCAGCGCUACUCAAAGCAGAAUUUUCUUUGACGAAAGGAAAACAAGCCCAAUUCCUAAGCACAUUUAAAUCCUGUGCUCAGUGCCACUUCUGCCAGCAGUUCUUUGGGCAGAGCAAGUCAUGUAGUUAAGCUCAAAGUCAAGGAUGGGGAAGAAUACUCUGCCUUUGGUAUAGGUAGGGGAAAUGAGUAUAUUUUGAACAAUAAUUAACACUACCAAACUCUUGAUGGACCCUAUGAAGAAAAUACAACAGGAUAGAAAACUCUUUUUUAUGUAAUAUCUUAUGAGGCAUAUUUAAAUACUCUAAGUUAAUAGUGUCUGUGAGAGAAUUUUUGAUUUUUGUAUCUUAAAACUAAUGUACCUGGAGACUGAACAUUAUUAAUUGGCACCUUACUGAGCUGUAGAUAUCAGAAAUCUUCUCAUACAUAUUGUUUUUAGUCUGGCCUAUUAGAAUGUGCUUUUUUCUGUUUCACUACCCAGAGUGAGGAAAGUACAGUUUAAUGCUAUGUAAAAUAAUUGCCUUUAUUUUUGUCAUUAGUAUUUAUGUAAUGAUAAAGAAUUUAUAUUACUUCCAAUCCAGCAGUUAGGGAAAUUAACAUUUUACUUAGAUCUCAAUUUAGAGCCAGUCAAAUUUGUGAAGAAUGUUAACUAUUUCUUCUUCUUUUUUUUUUUUUUGCUUUCUAGGGUCAUACCCGCGACAUAUAUGGAAGUUCCCAGGCUAGAGGCCGGCAGCUGUAGCUCCGAUUCUGCCCCUCGCCUGGGAAUAUCAAUAUGCCACAGGUGGGGCCCUAAAAAGACAAAAAAAUUAAAAAGUUAAAAAAAAAUUAAAAUGAACUAAUGUUAAGUUUUAUGGUGAGAACUUUAUAAUUCUCAUUUUGAAAUUGUUGGAGACAGGAGUGUUAGAAAGCCAAGACUGAGGAUCACUGUGCCACUAGGUAGGGUGUCAUUGAAAUGGUGAAAAUUUAGGCGAUAGGUACACCAAACCUAAUGUUCUCAUAGAUCCACUUAUAUUUAUAUUAUGUAUUUCUGAAUUACACACGUUUUUAAUAAUAGUACACCUUGGAGCCUAUGUUUUGUUUGAUUCAGCAACACACGUGGUUAGGCCAGGAUGUCUUCUCUUAAGGAUCUUUCGAAUAAAGUAGGGGUUGACACACUGGAUGUUAAUGAGUACUUGAUAUAGUACUUACUAUAUUAUAGUAAUUGAAAAUUAUAACUAAAACUAACCUGUUUCUGUAUUAUAGCAAUGUUUCUUUUAAGUUAGCAGGCGGUGUUUACUUUAAAGGAAUUAAACUCUAAACUUCACUAUGGCAGAGCCCUUGCCUGUCUCAUCCACCACUGUAUCUUCAGCAUAGAAGAAUGAACAAAUGAAUGUUCCUAUAAACCACAGGUCUUCCUUCAUUGUGUGUUUCUAUCUACCCUUCUAGCAGAUUUUAGUUAGUCUCUGUACUCAGAAUUUUAAUGUGAGAACACAAAGCCACAGUGGUUUUGUGUGCAGCAUGUUUUUAAAAGUUUAUUCAGAGAAAUUUGUUAGAAAUUUCACUUAUUAUAAUUCUCUACCAAGAAACUGUUUUUUUUAAAAUUUUGCCUGUGGAAUGAAUUUUUUUUAUUCAUAAAUGAAACAGGUCUGCAGGUUUAUCUUGUGUGGAAAGAGACAAGGGGGGAAGAUUAAUGAGCAACAGAAAAUUACAGAGAAACAGGAGAUAUCUAUCAUAUGUGGAACUAUAGUUUUAUUAUUAACUGUCAGGAUUGUUACACUAGUAACUGUUUAUUAUUAUUAAAGGAUUUUACUUGCUUGAUUUCCUAAAUAAAUUAUUUUUGUUCUUUUAUUUAUGGAAAUAAAAUUUGAUCUUUAAAAAUUAAGAAUUCUUUUUGCGCUUUUAAAUUACUACACAAUUAUUCUAAAAAUGUUCAAAAUUACAAAAAUAUUCAUGUUUACAAAAAAAUUAUUUUGUGUCGUUUUAAUUUUAGUCAUAGCAAGUUUUUCUUUUUUUAAGUGCUAUAUGCUUUGUAGCACAGAAUUAGAUUUCUGUUUUUAAAAAGCACAUAGACUGGUAUACUUUUAAAUGAUAUGAAAUAUUGGUGAUCCCAGGAUAUGUGUAAGUUUUUUUUUUGAUGGCCGACAAUUUAUAUUGAGUAAUUGUUUUAUAGCAGCAAUUUAGCUAGGUAACCUAAUAUAAAUUUAAAUGCAUUUGUUAUAAUAAUAUAUUUUAUCUUUCUUAUUUUCUAAUUGAAGACAAGGGCAAAAGCUAGGUUUCUAUGGAAUUUAAAUUCACUUGGAUAUAGUACUUAAGCAUAUUAGUCAAUUUUUAUCAGAAAAGAUGCACUAGAGCUUUCCUAUUAAGGUUUUAAGGUUAUUGAUUGGAAAAGAGUUUGAAAAUAUCUUUUUGCCCCUAUUUCUCCUAUAUAGACUUCUUGAAGUUUCUCUAAAUUAAAUUUUAAAUGCCAAUUAGGAGGUUGAGUAUACUAAAAUGAAAGCAAAUGCAACCAAAAAUGGCCUCACCUUAUGGUAGUUGGGCUUUUGAGAGAAUAAAUGGAACCUUUGCUCUGAGUGUGGCUUUGAGAAAGAUAUUCAUCUUAAUGAACACAUUAAUUAGAACCAUAACUAUUUAUAAGAUAAUUAGAAAUGAAACUUGGUAAACUGAGCUUUUCCUGCAAUUAAUGGAGGAUUAAUUACUGGAGGUAAUGAAGUGGAUUUUUAAAUGCAUUAAGGUGAAGUACAGAGAUGAGCAAGGCUUUGUGAUAGUUGCAUAAUUAUUUCAGGCUGUUUGAGCAUAGCUCAUAUGAGAUCGUUAAUAAGCAUCAUUGCAUCGUUAUGUAUGCACUUAAAAAGACUUACCACCAAAAUGACUGCCUAAUUAUUUCUAAUUGGCAGGACUCUGUGUAGUCAUUGAGCUGUUUGUAGCCAUUUUAAGGUUCAUUUAACUAUCCUUGGGGCCAUGUGAUAGAUGGAAAAAGCUUCAACUACAUGCUGGCCUUGGCUGGCGCCGUUAAUCAAUUUUGGUGGGCCUCAGUUUAAAUGCAUUUGCUCAUGCAGAGGUCAAAACCUGAAGUAGUCCAAGCAAAGUUUUGCUUUUUGAAGCCACUUGACUGUAUUCAUUAGCAAUUAGUAAAAUAAUUGUGUCUGUCACUGUAUUUGGAUUUCCAUAUGACUUAGUAUUCUUUUAUCACUGUCCCUUCUUAUUCCAUAUUUGCUACACUGGAAACCAAAUAUUCUUCCAACAAACCCUUUUAGCGACUUCAGUGUAGUAGCAUAUGUUCCGAUAUACUACCUUUCUUCAUUCAUUUGUUAGCUUAAACAGUGUAGUACAUUUCAACACAAUCAUCUAAUUUGCUCCUGAUUGAUUGCUGGUGAAAGUUUCUACUGAAGGACAACAUUUUAGGGCUUUUAAGGACAUCUCUAAGGAAUUAGUCAUUAAGCAUUAAGAGAGGAAGUAAGAAGUAGUCAAAUCGAAUUCUGACAUUUACCAGAGUUUUGUAAUUAGAAGCAUCUAUAUCUAAGAUGUUG